rnacentral:rRNA from 1 species
GUUGAUCGCAAGUGCUAAGGAAAUCCGCAUCAGGCCAUUGCCAUCCAGCUGGCACUGUUGGUGCGAUCCGUGCGGCUUUCGCUAUUACGCAGCUGCGAAGGGGAUUGCUGCAGCGAUAGUUGGUAACGCAGGGUUUUCCAGUCAGACGUGUAAACGACGCCAGUGAUAGAACUCGUACGCGCGAUCUCCAGAGAUUUUCCGUUGAUCUGCCGGACCGACUGCUAUAUGGGUGAGAAUAAGCCAUGCGAGUUGAAUGGAAUACCUAAAUUUUUCCAUGGCAAACUGCUCAGUAACACAUGAUCAACUUACCCUAUAGAGAAAAAUAACCUCGGGAAACUGAGGAUAAUGUUUCAUAGUUGAAAAGGCUUGGAAAAGUUUUUCAAUAAAAGGGAUAAAAAAAAUGGUUUUUAUCCGCUAUAGGAUAGGAUCGUGCUCGAUUAUGGUUGUUGGUGAGGUAAUGGCUCACCAAGCCGAUAAUCGAUAGGGGCCGUGAGAGCGGGAGCCCCGAGAUGGGUACUGAGACAACGACCCAGGCCUUACGAGGCGCAGCAGGCGCGAAACCUCCGCAAUACACGAAAGUGUGACGGGGUUACCCAAAGUGUUCAAUUUUGAACUGUGGUAGGUGAGUAAUGUUCCCUACUAGAAAGGAGAGGGCAAGGCUGGUGCCAGCCGCCGCGGUAAAACCAGCUCUUCAAGUGGUCGGGAUAAUUAUUGGGCUUAAAGUGUCCGUAGCCGGUUUAGUAAGUUCCUGGUAAAAUCGGGUAGCUUAACUAUCUGUAUGCUAGGAAUACUGCUAAACUAGAGGGCGGGAGAGGUCUGAGGUACUACAUGGGUAGGGGUGAAAUCUUAUAAUCCUUGUAGGACCACCAGUGGCGAAGGCGUCAGACUGGAACGUGCCUGACGGUGAGGGACGAAAGCCAGGGGAGCGAACCGGAUUAGAUACCCGGGUAGUCCUGGCCGUAAACGAUGCAUACUAGGUGAUGGCGUGGCCAUGAGCCGUGUCAGUGCCGUAGGGAAACCGUUAAGUGUGCCGCCUGGGAAGUACGGUCGCAAGGCUAAAACUUAAAGGAAUUGGCGGGGGAGCACCACAAGGGGUGAAGCCUGCGGUUCAAUUGGACUCAACGCCGGAAA